rnacentral:rRNA from 1 species
UUGAAAGGGAAACGAUUGAAGUCAGUCGUACCAGCGGGAAUCAACCUUUCGAGUGGGGGUUUUGGAGUUUUGAAGAGUGUCAAAACCUUUGAGANUUCNNAAUCUUCGCUCUUUUGGUGUACUUUCUCGUGGGUAGGUUAACAUCGAUUUUGAUCAUCAUAAAAAGAUUGGAGGAAUGUAGCUUCGAUCUUGUAUUGAAGUGUUAUAGCCUUUGGUAAAUGUGAUGAUUAGGAUCGAGGAUUGCAACGAAUACCCUUUUGGGCUAUCCGCCUGAUCUCUGAUACGUGGCCUUGGUAUCGAAAGCUUGCUUAUGGUAUUAAGGUAUUACGGUCAAAAGGUUAGAACGGAUUACAUUCGUUAAGGAUGUUGACGUA